rnacentral:rRNA from 1 species
CACGGGGGGCCUACGGGAGGCAGCAGUGGGGAAUUUUGGACAAUGGGCGAAAGCCUGAUCCAGCAAUACCGCGUGCAGGAAGAAGGCCCUCGGGUUGUAAACUGCUUUUGUACGGAACGAAACGGCGCGCUCUAAUAAAGUGCGCUAAUGACGGUACCGUAAGAAUAAGCACCGGCUAACUACGUGCCAGCAGCCGCGGUAAUACGUAGGGUGCAAGCGUUAAUCGGAAUUACUGGGCGUAAAGCGUGCGCAGGCGGUUUUGUAAGACAGGCGUGAAAUCCCCGGGCUUAACCUGGGAAUUGCGCUUGUGACUGCAAGGCUAGAGUACGGUAGAGGGGGGUAGAAUUCCGCGUGUAGCAGUGAAAUGCGUAGAUAUGCGGAGGAACACCGAUGGCGAAGGCAGCCCCCUGGACCUGUACUGACGCUCAUGCACGAAAGCGUGGGGAGCAAACAGGAUUAGAUACCCUGGUAGUCCACGCCCUAAACGAUGUCAACUGGUUGUUGGGAAUUUACUUUCUCAGUAACGAAGCUAACGCGUGAAGUUGACCGCCUGGAAACGCCCUG